UGGGAAGAGGGUCUUACAGUGUAGGGCAGA
rnacentral:piRNA from 1 species